GGAUGAACGCUAGCUACAGGCUUAACACAUGCAAGUCGAGGGGCAGCAUGGUCUUAGCUUGCUAAGGCCGAUGGCGACCGGCGCACGGGUGAGUAACACGUAUCCAACCUGCCGUCUACUCUUGGACAGCCUUCUGAAAGGAAGAUUAAUACAAGAUGGCAUCAUGAGUCCGCAUGUUCACAUGAUUAAAGGUAUUCCGGUAGACGAUGGGGAUGCGUUCCAUUAGAUAGUAGGCGGGGUAACGGCCCACCUAGUCUUCGAUGGAUAGGGGUUCUGAAAGGAAGGUCCCCCACAUUGGAACUGAGACACGGUCCAAACUCCUACGGGAGGCAGCAGUGAGGAAUAUUGGUCAAUGGGCGAGAGCCUGAACCAGCCAAGUAGCGUGAAGGAUGACUGCCCUAUGGGUUGUAAACUUCUUUUAUAAAGGAAUAAAGUCGGGUAUGGAUACCCGUUUGCAUGUACUUUAUGAAUAAGGAUCGGCUAACUCCGUGCCAGCAGCCGCG
rnacentral:rRNA from 1 species